GAAGCGGGAAGAGCUCAAAUUUGAAAUCUGGUAGCCUUCGGUUGCCCGAGUUGUAAUCUAGAGAAAUGUUUUCCGUGCCGGCCCAUGUACAAGUCCCUUGGAACAGGGCGUCAUAGAGGGUGAGAAUCCCGUCCUUGACAUGGACCCCCGGUGCUUUGUGAUACAUUUUCAACGAGUCGAGUUGUUUGGGAAUGCAGCUCAAAAUGGGUGGUGAAUUCCAUCUAAAGCUAAAUAUUGGCGAGAGACCGAUAGCGAACAAGUACCGUGAGGGAAAGAUGAAAAGCACUUUGGAAAGAGAGUUAAACAGUACGUGAAAUUGUUGAAAGGGAAACGAUUGAAGUCAGUUAUGCUCUUUGGUAUUUAUAUCAUUGAGUGGGGUCAACAUCAGUUUUGAUCGAUGGAUAAAGGCACUAGGAAUGUAGCACUCUCGGGUGAACUUAUAGCCUAGCGUCAUAUACAUUGAUUGGGACUGAGGAACGCAGCAUGCCUUUAUGGCCGGGAUUCGUCCACGUACAU
rnacentral:rRNA from 1 species